UACGUAGGGUGCAAGCGUUAAUCGGAAUUACUGGGCGUAAAGCGUGCGCAGGCGGUUUUGUAAGUCUGUCGUGAAAUCCCCCGGGCUCAACCUGGGAAUGGCGAUGGAGACUGCAAGGCUAGAGUUUGGCAGAGGGGGGGUAGAAUUCCACGUGUAGCAGUGAAAUGCGUAGAUAUGUGGAGGAACACCGAUGGCGAAGGCAGCCCCCCUGGGUCAAAAACUGACGCUCAUGCACGAAAGCGUGGGGAGCAAACAGG
rnacentral:rRNA from 1 species